AGAAAGUGCUGGAAGCCGUUUUUUUUUCCUCGCUCGUCGUUUUUUUUUUUGGCUCGCUCUCUCUCGCUGGACCCGUGGGGAGAACGGGAUGCUCGCACGUUUAGAAAGAAGGAAAAAGACGCUAAAAAGAGCCAUUAAAGUCGACAAAACUGAGAGGGAGGUUCAGAGAAGGGGACCGCGGAUGUUGGUGACUGUGAGAAACGAGAGAUUGAGCGAGACACGAGGCCGGCGAUCCGUCUGACGGAGCGGACGACGCGAUCGGAGGUAGCCGAGCUAGCUAGCCACGGCGGGCGCACGCGAGGCGGAGCUGUUGGUUCAUCGCACUGCACCUGAGUAUCCGGACCAGUCUUUUCGACGCUCUCAAUGUUUUGUAAGUGUCAGUUCAGCGCACUCAAUGUUUUGCGAGACCAAAACAGGCCUGCAACGUUGUUUUUUUUUUCUUCGUUCGAAUCGGUACCGUGAGUAAACUGGAACAUGUGAGCAUGGAUGAUCCCGAUGGAGUAACUUGGAGUAAAGUGUCUUGAUCAAGGUGGAGACGCUGCAGAGAUCGAACCAGCAAACCUUCUGCUGACCAGCUCAGUGGUUUAACCACACCACAAAAUCACGCUGAUGGAGAGCACAUGAAUGUUUGCAGCAGACACAGCUGCAGCCAGAUUGUCCUGCACAUGUUCUCCCCACUCU